GAAGACAGAGAAGUGAAGCAGUUUUAUUUGUUUAGGAGAGGAUGAGGAGCACUGGAGGCAGAAUCGAUUUACCAUGAGAUUAUGAUCUUGACCACGGAUGGGAUUAAUGUCCAAUGUCAACCUUAAGUUUCUCUACUUAAUCCAAAAGAGAACCAUGUAAAGUUGGCUUGAUUUGAGGAGGGAAAAGAUAAAGAUGGAUGGAAGUGGGGAAUCCUAAGCUUGACAAGGGCAACAGUAAAGAUGACAUAAGCAUUGUCCCGUGAAACACCGAGCAUUGGGCUAGUGGGGUUGCUGUAUUGAGACCAAAUAAAUAAAUAAAAAAACGUCCAAUUUAACUUCAUUUCCAAAAUUGUUAAAUCUAUCUCCAUUUGUUUCCCCUCCCCUGCUUCGAUCUAACCCUUCGAGCCUGCCACAAUCAUUCCAUCUCUUCCCUGCUCAUUUUCCCUCCAUACACUUCCUAGAAGUUCAGAUUCGUGAAGAUAUGAUCUUCCAGGAAGAAGCGAUCGAAAUAAAAACCAGCAAGCACGAAAAUGAAAUGGUGGGCAACCACAACAACAAUGAAGGUUAUAAUGAUAACAAUCCAGGAGAGUGGCUGAAUCUGAGACUAGGUGGAAAUCCACCCUCAACAGCAGGAGAUUAUGACUCGCAAUCAAGACCUACUUCUAGCAAGGUUUUCUCAUGUAAUUUCUGUAGAAGGAAGUUCUUCAGUUCUCAGGCACUUGGGGGUCAUCAGAACGCCCACAAGAGAGAGAGAGGUGCGGCCAGAAGAUACCACUCCCAGAGGAUGAUGACAAUGAUGGGCUUGCCUAUCAAUUCUCCAAUGGCUAGAUCACUUGGGGUCAGGCCCCAUGCCGUUGUGCACAAGCCAACCAGAGAUGGAACUCCUACUGGAGGGAGAUUUAAUGAAGCCAAUCCAGGAUUUGUUAUGUCAUGGAUGCCCUUCGCACUUGAUGAUACAACGGAUUUGACAUGGCCAGGCAGUUUUCGCUUGGAUCCACAGCUACCAGAGACAUCAUCGGAGUCACUCAAGCUUGACUUGAACCUCCGACUCUAAUCAAACCCCCUGCUGUGAUUCCCAAUUUUCUUCACGUGGAACAGUUUUUGAAGUGCCAUCUAAUACAGAAACUAAUACAGAUAUGACUUAUAAAUAGUUGUUGGAACACCCUAACACAAACCAGACAGUGCCAAGAAGGGAAGGAUUAUAAUGGAAGGAAAACAAUUAACAGUUUAACACCAUUUGAGAUCAUGUGUUAGCUCUCUCUGUUCCCGAUAUGGCUCUCCAAGUGGCAUUUUACAUUUUAACAUUGCCCUUAUUUCUUGCUUAUAUGUCCAAAGAUCGCUCAAUAGCCAAAACGGAUCCAUAUGGCUGACCCCAACUACUUUCGGAUUGAGGCUUGGCUGAUGUUAUUGUUGUUCGAAUUUUCCUUAUGGUACCGGCUUCGAAGGUCUUAUCGGGCAGCUCAAAAGCUCCCUGGGACGCCUUCCAUGUGCCUUCCUUUCCUCUUUUGUUUUAGCAUCUUUUCUCAUGCUUUUCUUUGGCAAAGAACCAAUAAAAGUCAAAGUUUUCUAUGCUAAAAUCUUGAAUUCUUUCAAUACGUCACUAGAAGUCUUGAAAUCAACCCAG